rnacentral:lncRNA from 1 species
UCAUCAGGGCCGCUAAAGCUCGCUCCCUCUCCGCCGCAACCUCUGGGCCAACAGGAGUCAGAUCGCCCGACCCCGACGAAAACAGCUCCGCCGCAACUCCCGGCUGUCCUCGACCAGCCGCGGUUGGUGCUGCCACCAGCCGGUCCACGGUCUCUUGGAGUCGUUCCAUUCGCUCAUCUUGGCGCAUAGCAGCCUCCUGCUGCCGCUGCACCACAUCAGCUUGUUGCCGCAUCACUCCAAUGAGUGUGGCCAACUGACCGCGAAGCUCCGAGUCUCCGCUCGCGUCGAUUUGCUCAGGGACGCCACUUGUCCCCUCCCGCGCCGAUCUGGAUGAAGGUCGUCUACGCGGUGCCAUCGUUUCCUGAAACAGGACAACUCAAUUAGUCCUCGACCCUCUGGGUCGAACACGAGACCACUAACACGGCUCAAAAGCCAAUCAGGCGAAAGUCAAACAAGGACGUCUAUUCUCGUCACUCGGCUUUAUGUUGUGCGCGCCCAACAUAAACACACUUAGUCGAGAAUAAACCAUACCUUGAGUCUACCUCUAAAAUCCGUCUUAGAGGUUUACGACGCAACCAAAUCCAUAAUCCUUUCGCCACAAAUCAUAAGUCCUCGUCUCUCACGAGCCUUAUUCUCCUAUGGUUUUACUACCCUAGGGUCUCCUAGGUCUGUCUAAACUAUUUUUCCCAUUCUCU